rnacentral:lncRNA from 1 species
GUAGGAUCUUCGUUGUUACUUUAUUUGUUUUCAAGGUGUGACAAUUCAUGACAUGGUACAUCCAACCGAGCCACAGCAGACUGAUGAAAACAAAGACAAUUGUCAGACAGGCUGCACAGCAUGUUCAAACUUCAACUUCAAACUUACUGUGUGGAUGGAGUGCCAAAAAAACCUGUCAGUUCAGUGGUGUUACCCAAUCAGAUUAGAUUUGAUUGGCUGCAACACUAAACCAAAAAAAAAAAAAUUGAGGGUUAAAGGUGUGGAGGUGUAUAAAACAUUAUUUUCAUCCAUUUCUCCAUCACUGCAGCUCCUCCAGGACUGACGCUCACCUGUUAAUCUCUCCUCAAAUCACCUUUGCCGUCAUCAUGCCCGAUCUUAUUAAACUUAUGAGCAGCAUCGUCGAUUGCUACAACGACUACGCUGGCAAGGACGGGGACGCAAGCUCCCUGACUAUGAAAGAGAUGUCAGAUCUGUUCAUGAAAGAACUUCGUCCAUGGAUGCAGAGUCUCAGUGACCACACAGAAGUGGACAAGAUCUUAGAAUCCUUCAGUGACGACAUAGAAGCUGGUAUGAACUUCACCAACUUUGGCAAAUUGCUCAUUGGCUUUGCUAAUGUAAUGCAGAAGCAGCCAGCAAGAAAUAAUGAGCCACCUUGGGGUCAACACAGAGAGCUGCCUUCUUGUGGAGAGAGAAGAGUGUCCACGACUGCUGUUAUGAAGAACAAAAACAGAUAUUGUCGCACGUGUUGAAAUAAACCUCUUUUCCUGUGAGACCUUGUGUACUCUGUUGUUUCUGUACUGCGGGGGAACAAUAUUUGUGACAAUAUUGGCUCUCGCCCUGUAAUUCUUACAGCCAGAUUAACCCAAGGAGGGGAACAAUAAUACUGCAGGUUAUUAGCGGUGUGUUUCUUGUAUCAUGGAGGUGGAGAAACCACAGCACAUUCUCAAAAGAAGGACACACUCGAAAGGACAAGGUAGUGGAUUAGAAUUGAAAUUGAAUGCCAUAAUGGUUGUUUGAGUUGGGAAGUAACAAUAAGUGGGAAUACUCAAGUAAAGUAACUGAGAGAUAGUACUCAGAAGCAGUACUUGAGUAAAUUGAACGCAGGUUUCUUCAUCACUGAUUGUUCGAUGUUUUGACACAAAGAUUGUCAUUUUUACUGCAAAUGAAUAUCCUUCCCUAAAUAUCCGUUUUCAGUCACCUUGAUUUCUAAUAAUCUGCAUUGGUAUCUCCCCUGAAAAAGCCAUGUCAGCGAGUAAUUAUUUUUCUUACAACUUUAUAAUUUUACUCCCUACAUUUUCAUAACAGGCCCGUAAUUUUAGUUUCAAAGCAUAUGUGGGGAAUUAUCGAAAAUCGAUCGAUCUAAUCUAUUCUCACGUACAGUAGGUAGACAGAGGAGCAGAGACACUAACGGCACAAACACGACAGCAUAAUUUGGCUAAGACUCAGAGAAUCAGCGGCUGUGUCUGCAUUUUCUUACAUUCUCAAUGUUGAGCUCAGUCUGUUUCCACAGUGUUGGUAUUUCACAUCCUGGGAAUGGGACUCCACAAUCAACCAUCUUUCUGGUGAGUUCACGAACGGCUCAGACAAAUUCCUACUUAUUUCACCUUUAAGUUUUACAGUCAAUGAAUUAUAUUAAUAUGUCACGAGGUUCAGUUAACUUUGCGCAAAAUGGCUGGAGGGAUACUUUUUACUUUUAUACUUUGAGGGCAUCUCACAGCCUGUAUUUUAUUACUCUUACUUGAGUCAACAACUGGAAUCAGUACGUCUACUUUGACCAGAGUCUUUUAUACGUAAGCAUCUUUACUUACUUACUGCAUGAGUAAAUAAUGUGUGUACUUUUGGUUCAAAUUAAAUCACACACUGUAACAUCAGAGUCAGGCUGCAAAGAUGGUAGAAAAUACAUUUACAUUUACAUUUUAGGGCAUUUAGCAGAUGGUUUUGUCCAAAACAACUCAUACAGUAAUUCAUACAUUCAUACACCGAUGGCGGUGGUUGCCAUGGAAGAUGCCGAUCAGCACAUCAGGAGCAAUUUGGGGUUCAGUAUCUGUGAGUGAGUGAGUCCACGUAGGGUGGAGUUUCAUCUAGAAGGCCUCUGUUUGCGUCCCACAUGAAACCAACAGUCAACACUGAUCUGUUUAGAUCUACGUCUGUAAGUGACCCGAAAAAAGAAUAAAAAACUCUUGCCUUGUUUAGUUUUGCUUUUUUUUUUCCCUUGAUACAGCAUAAAGACGUUGAGCGUUGCACUCACAGCUGUUUACAAACGAUUUGGGUUGUCCAUCUUUAGAGUGUAGGGAUCUGGACAGUUAAUACUAACUACAAGAACAAUU